rnacentral:rRNA from 1 species
AGCAGCCGCGGUAAUUCCAGCUCCAAUAGCGUAUAUUAAAGUUGUUGCAGUUAAAAAGCUCGUAGUUGAAUUUCGGGGUUAGUAGGUUGGUCAUGCCUCUGGUAUGUACUGGUCUCACUGAUUCCUCCUUCCUGAUGAGCCGUAAUGCCAUUAAUUUGGUGUUGCGGGGAAUUUGGACUGUUACUUUGAAAAAUUGAGUGUUUAAAGCAAGCUAACGCUUGAAUACAUUAGCAUGGAAUAAUGAAAUAGGACGUUCGAUCCUAUUUUGUGGUUUCUAGGAUUGACGUAAUGAUUAAUAGGGAUAGUGGGGCAUUAGUAUUCAAUUGUCAGAGGUGAAAUUCUUGGAUUUAUGAAGACUAACUACUGCGAAAGCAUUUGCCAAGGAUUGUUUCAUUAANCAAGAACGAAAGUUGGGAUCGAAGACGAU